rnacentral:rRNA from 1 species
GAUCAAAUCAAGCGCGAGAAGGGCGUUUGGUGAAUGCCUUGGCAGCAAGAGGCGAUGAAGGACGUGAUACUCUGCGAUAAGUCAUGGGGAGCCGAGAAUAGGCUUUGAUCCAUGAAUCUCCGAAUGGGGCAACCCACCUGACAGUUCGAUAUAAUUACUUCGGUAUCUUAUAUCUUGCUGAAACAGGUACUUAUUACCUGAAUACAUAGGGUUUUAAGAGCAAACCCGGGGAACUGAAACAUCUAAGUACCCGGAGGAAAGGAAAUCAAUUGAUACUCCCCUAGUAGCGGCGAGCGAACGGGGACCAGCCGAGCCUUGAGAGUGAUCAGAAUAACCUGGAAAGGUUAGCCAUAGCGGGUGACAGCCCCGUAUGAGAAGCUCGAUGGGACGUAUUAAGUAGGGCGGGACACGUGAAAUCCUGUCUGAAGAUCGGAGGACCACCUUCGAAGGCUAAGUACUCCUUGCUGACCGAUAGUGAACCAGUACCGUGAGGGAAAGGUGAAAAGCACCCCGACGAGGGGAGUGAAACAGUACCUGAAACCGAACGCCUACAAUCAGUCGGAGCUUGACUGGACUCUAAUGACAAUCUGGGCCAUGACCUUCUUGUAUAACAAGGAGAUACGAUCAUGGCAGACGGAACCUUCGCAGUGGCACUGCUUCUGCUCGGUCUGACCGACAUGGGGAUGAGCCACUGUGGCACCGAGGCGGGAUGCCUGGGCAAGUCGGCGACGACGCCCCGGGUGGCUUUCUCGGCAGGAGAGGUUCUGGAACGGCGCGCUCAGCCCGCGGCCGAAGUCUACCUGCGCUACUACGAGAUCUGGGUCACAAGAUGGGACCCUUCGGAAGCGCAGUCGGUCUUUCGGUCGGCGAAGCGGGGGAAACAUGGGUUGGCUUCGGCCAGACCUACACGCUUCCCUUCGGCAAGAGUGGCUUCUACGGCGAACUGCAUGCCAUGCCGGGGAUCUACUUCGACAAUGGCGGCUUCGAUCUGGGCGGACCUCUCGAGUUCCGCUCCGGUGUCGAACUGGGCUACGAGACACGCCAGGGAUGGCGGCUCGGCCUCAGCUACGACCACAGGUCGAACGCAGGGAUCUAUGACGACAACCCGGGCAUCGAAACGGUGCAGGUCAGGGUGUCGGUUCCAAUCAGGUGAUUAUCAUUAGUGUCCAGUCUUGUGACGGCGUACCUUUUGUAUAAUGGGUCAUCGACUUGGUCUAUCUAGCAAGCUUAAGCCGAUAGGUGUAGGCGCAGCGAAAGCGAGUCUUAAUAGGGCGUCGAGUUAGAUGGAUCAGACCCGAAACCGAGUGAUCUAGGCAUGACCAGGAUGAAGGUUGGGUAACACCAACUGGAGGUCCGAACCCACACCUGUUGAAAAAGGUCGGGAUGAGUUGUGCCUAGGGGUGAAAGGCCAAUCAAACUCGGAGAUAGCUGGUUCUCCGCGAAAUCUAUUUAGGUAGAGCGUCAUCCGAAUACCCCGGGGGGUAGAGCACUGGAUGGGUAAUGGGGCCCCACAGGCUUACUGAUCCUAACCAAACUCCGAAUACCCGGGAGUACUAGAUGGCAGACACACUGCGGAUGCUAACGUCCGUAGUGGAGAGGGAAACAACCCUGACCUACAGCUAAGGCCCCCAAUUCAUGGCUAAGUGGGAAAGCAGGUGGGACGACCAAAACAACCAGGAGGUUGGCUUAGAAGCAGCCAUCCUUUAAAGAUAGCGUAACAGCUCACUGGUCUAAUCAAGUUGUCCUGCGGCGAAGAUGUAACGGGGCUCAAGCCAUGAGCCGAAGCUUAGGAUGCCGUAAGGCAUGGUAGCGGAGCGUAGUGUGACAUAGUCUCAUGUCUCCUUAGCGGGCUUGCCCGCAUUGGAGACGCGAGGCUUUCUGUGAAGCCGGCCUGUGAGGGAUCCGGUGGAGAGAUCACUAGCGAGAAUGAUGACAUGAGUAGCGACAAAGGGAGUGAGAGACUCCCUCGCCGAAAGUCCAAGGGUUCCUGCUUAAAGCUAAUCUGAGCAGGGUAAGCCGGCCCCUAAGGCGAGGCCGAAAGGCGUAGUCGAUGGGAACCAGGUUAAUAUUCCUGGGCCGUGUGGUGGUGACGGAUCGUGGCGACGCAUGUACCUUAUCGGAUUGGUGCAUGUUCAAGACGGUUCCUGGAAAUAGCCCCACUCUAAGACCGUACCCCAAACCGACACAGGUGGACUGGUAGAGAAUACCAAGGCGCUUGAGAGAACGAUGUUGAAGGAACUCGGCAAAAUACCUCCGUAAGUUCGCGAGAAGGAGGCCCGGUACAUGAGUGCCGGGGGCACAAACCAGGGGGUGGCGACUGUUUAUUAAAAACACAGGGCUCUGCGAAGUCGCAAGACGACGUAUAGGGUCUGACGCCUGCCCGGUGCCUGAAGGUUAAAAGGAGGGGUGCAAGCUCUGAAUUGAAGCCCAGGUAAACGGCGGCCGUAACUAUAACGGUCCUAAGGUAGCGAAAUUCCUUGUCGGGUAAGUUCCGACCUGCACGAAUGGCGUAACGACUUCCCCGCUGUCUCCAACAUCGACUCAGCGAAAUUGAAUUGCCUGUCAAGAUGCAGGCUUCCCGCGGUUAGACGGAAAGACCCCGUGCACCUUCACUACAGCUUCGCACUGGCAUCAGGCACAACAUGUGCAGGAUAGGUGGUAGACUUUGAAACCGUGACGCCAGUCGCGGUGGAGUCAUCCUUGAGAUACCACCCUUGUUCUGCUUGAUGUCUAACCGCGGUCCGUUAUCCGGAUCCGGGACCCUGCGUGGUGGGUAGUUUGACUGGGGCGGUCGCCUCCUAAAGCGUAACGGAGGCGCGCGAAGGUUGGCUCAGAGCGGUCGGAAAUCGCUCGUUGAGUGCAAUGGCAGAAGCCAGCCUGACUGCAAGACUGACAAGUCGAGCAGAGUCGAAAGACGGCCAUAGUGAUCCGGUGGUCCCAAGUGGGAGGGCCAUCGCUCAACGGAUAAAAGGUACGCCGGGGAUAACAGGCUGAUACUGCCCAAGAGUCCAUAUCGACGGCAGUGUUUGGCACCUCGAUGUCGGCUCAUCUCAUCCUGGGGCUGGAGCAGGUCCCAAGGGUAUGGCUGUUCGCCAUUUAAAGAGGUACGUGAGCUGGGUUUAGAACGUCGUGAGACAGUUCGGUCCCUAUCUGCCGUGGGUGUAGGAUACUUGAGAGGAGUUGCCCCUAGUACGAGAGGACCGGGGUGAACGAUCCACUGGUGGACCAGUUGUCGUGCCAACGGCAGUGCUGGGUAGCUAUGAUCGGACAGGAUAACCGCUGAAGGCAUCUAAGCGGGAAGCCCCCCUCAAAACAAGGUAUCCCUGAGGACCGUGGAAGACCACCACGUCGAUAGGCCGGAGAUGUAAGUGCAGCAAUGCAUUCAGUUGACCGGUACUAAUGGUCCGAUAGGCUUGAUUUGAUCCAG